rnacentral:rRNA from 1 species
ACUACGGGUGGCAGCAGUGAGGAAUAUUGGUCAAUGGACUAGAGUCUGAACCAGCCAAGUAGCGUGAAGGAUGACUGCCCUACGGGUUGUACACUUCUUUUAUAUGGGAAUAAAAUGUUCCACGUGUGGGUUUUUGUAUGUACUAUAUGAAUAAGGAUCGGCUAACUCCGUGCCAGCAGCCGCGGUAAUACGGAGGAUCCGAGCGUUAUCCGGAUUUAUUGGGUUUAAAGGGAGAGUAGGUGGAUUGUUAAGUAAGUUGUGAAAGUUUGCGGCUCAACCGUAAAAUUGCAGUUGAUACUGGCAGUCUUGAGUACAGUAGAGGUAGGCGGAAUUCGUGGUGUAGCGGUGAAAUGCUUAGAUAUCACGAAGAACUCCGAUUGCGAAGGCAGCUCACUGAACUGCAACUGACACUGAGGCUCGAAAGUGUGGGUAUCAAACAGGAUUAGAGACCCGGGUAGUC